rnacentral:rRNA from 1 species
AGUUAGCGGCGGACGGGUGAGUAACACGUGGGUAACCUGCCCAUAAGACUGGGAUAACUCCGGGAAACCGGGGCUAAUACCGGAUAACAUUUUGAACCGCAUGGUUCGAAAUUGAAAGGCGGCUUCGGCUGUCACUUUUGGAUGGACCCGCGUCGCAUUAGCUAGUUGGUGAGGUAACGGCUCACCAAGGCAACGAUGCGUAGCCGACCUGAGAGGGUGAUCGGCCACACUGGGACUGAGACACGGCCCAGACUCCUACGGGAGGCAGCAGUAGGGAAUCUUCCGCAAUGGACGAAAGUCUGACGGAGCAACGCCGCGUGAGUGAUGAAGGCUUUCGGGUCGUAAAACUCUGUUGUUAGGGAAGAACAAGUGCUAGUUGAAUAAGCUGGCACCUUGACGGUACCUAACCAGAAAGCCACGGCUAACUACGUGCCAGCAGCCGCGGUAAUACGUAGGUGGCAAGCGUUAUCCGGAAUUAUUGGGCGUAAAGCGCGCGCAGGUGGUUUCUUUAGUCUGAUGUGAAAGCCCCACGGCUCAACCGUGGAGGGUCAUUGGAAACUGGGGAGACUUGAGUGCAGAAGAGGAAAGUGGAUUUCCAUGUGUAGCGGUGAAAUGCGUAGAGAUAUGGAGGAACCACCAGUGGCGAAAGGCGACUUUUCU